rnacentral:rRNA from 1 species
UACGUAGGGCGCAAGCGUUAUCCGGAAUUAUUGGGCGUAAAGAGCUCGUAGGCGGUUUGUCGCGUCUGCCGUGAAAGUCCGGGGCUCAACUCCGGAUCUGCGGUGGGUACGGGCAGACUAGAGUGAUGUAGGGGAGACUGGAAUUCCUGGUGUAGCGGUGAAAUGCGCAGAUAUCGGGAGGAACACCCGUAGCGAAGGCGGCACUCUGGGCCGGAACUGACGCUGAGGAGCGAAAGCGUGGGGAGCAAACAGA